GAUUUCUGAUAUAAUAUUUUUGUCCCGCUGUGGUUACACAUGUGAGUGACGAAUAAUAUUUAUCUGUUUUAUGUUUUGUUUGUAUAGUAUGUAAAUAUUAUACAAAACAUACAUAUCUUUUACUUUGAACAAAUUAGAGUGUUUCAAGCAGGCAUUUAUGCCUUGAAUACAUGAGCAUGGAAUAAUCAUCGAGGACUUUUAGUUCUAUGUUGAUUGGUUCUAGAACUAUAGUAAUGAUGGAUAGGGAUAGUUGGGGGUGCUAGUAUUCCGAGGCCAGAGGUGAAAUUCUUGGAUUCUCGGAAGACUCACUUAGGCGAAAGCAUU
rnacentral:rRNA from 1 species